rnacentral:piRNA from 1 species
UGCACAGCGAGCCAGGGCCUCCAUCC